UAUUGGGCAAUGGGCGGUAGCCUGACCCAGCCAUGCCGCGUGCAGGAAGACGGCGUUCUGCGUUGUAAACUGCUUUUAUACGGGAAGAAAAGGCCCAUGCGUGGGAUAUUGCCGGUACCGUAUGAAUAAGCACCGGCUAACUCCGUGCCAGCAUCCGCGGUAAUACGGAGGGUGCGAGCGUUGUCCGGAUUUAUUGGGUUUAAAGGGUGCGUAGGCGGCCUGUUAAGUCGGCGGUGAAAGUCUGUGGCUCAACCAUGGAACUGCCGUUGAUACUGGCAGGCUUGAGUGCCGGUGGGGUACAUGGAAUUGGUGGUGUAGCGGUGAAAUGCAUAGAUACCAUCAGGAACACCGAUAGCGUAGGCAUUGUACUUACCGGCAACUGACGCUGAGGCACGAAAGCGCGGGUAUCGAACAGG
rnacentral:rRNA from 1 species